CCUACGGGUGGCAGCAGUGAGGAAUAUUGGUCAAUGGCCGAAAGUCUGAACCAGCCAAGUAGCGUGAGGGAUGACUGCCCUAUGGGUUGUAAACCUCUUUUAUAUGGGAAGAAAAUGUGCCACGUGUAGGAUUUUGUAUGUACCCUAUGAAUAAGCAUCGGCUAACUCCGUGCCAGCAGCCGCGGUAAUACGGAGGAUCCGAGCGUUUUCCGGAUUUAUUGGGUUUAAAGGGUGCGUGGGCGGUUGUUUAAGUAAGUGGUAAAAUGUUGGGGCUCCACCUUGAAUUGCCGUUGAUACUGGCAGACUCGAGUGCAGGAGAGGUAGGCGGAAUGCGUUGUGUAGCGGUGAAAUGCUUAGAUAUCACGUAGAACUCCGAUAGCGAAGGCAGCUUACCGGACUGCAACUGACGCUGAGGCACGAAAGCGUGGGUAUCGAACAGGAUUAGAUACCCGGGUAGUC
rnacentral:rRNA from 1 species